rfam:Myotis lucifugus cont2.38576, whole genome shotgun sequence.
AGCAGUUCUCGGGUGACACAUCUCCGAAUCGGGCUCCCUCCUCUCUGGUUCCGGGGUGCAUCAUCCAAGAAUCGCC